rnacentral:rRNA from 1 species
GACGAACGCUGGCGGCGUGCUUAACACAUGCAAGUCGAACGCUGAAGCUCAGCUUGCUGGGUGGACGAGUGGCGAACGGGUGAGUAACACGUGAGUAACCCGCCCUCUUCUUUGGGAUAACGCCCGGAAACGGGUGCUAAUACUGGAUAUUCACUGAUUCUCGCAUGGGGGUUGGUGGAAAGGUUUCUUCUGGUGGGGGGUGGGCUCUGGGUCUAUCAGUUGGUUGUUGGGGUGAUGGCCUACCAAGGCUUUGACGGGUAGCCGGCCUGGGAGGGUGACCGGUGACGUUGGGCCUGAGAAACGGGCCAGAGUGAUGCGGGAGGCAGCAAUGGGGGAUAUUGCACGAUAGGCGAAAGCCUGAUGCAGCGGCGCGGCGUGAGGGAGGGAGGCCUUCGAGUUGUAAACCUCGUUCGCUCAUGGUCAAGCCGCAGCUUUGGGUUGUGGUGAGGGUAGUGGGUAAAGAAGCGCCGGCUAACUACGUG